GGGGCUGUAACUCAGAGGUAGAGUGCUCGCUUCGCAUGUGAGAAGACGCGGUGUUCAAUCCUCCGCAACUCCA
rnacentral:tRNA from 1 species